rnacentral:lncRNA from 1 species
AGCAGCUCAGGGUCAGCAGCCAGACCCCGUCCCAAAGCUGGCCGGGUUCCUCUCCAGGAUUCCAGGACUUCGGGCAGAGGGCAGGAGUUCAGGUCUUAGCCGCUCUCCCUCCCCCUAGAAGAGGAUAACGGCCCUCUCUCUGAGAACAUGCCAUGAGGAUCAUAUUUUAAAGUCCCAAAUCAGGACAUCAUGCUUGAUAAAAUACUUGUGGAUUGAUAGACGGGAAAAGUCCUUUAAUGGUAUACAAAUCAAGUCACUGUUGGCUACAUAUUGAAUAAAUUAUAUUUCUGGGAAAGAAUGCAAAUAAGGCAGACACUGUCCUGAAAGAUCUCAGCCAGUGGUUCUAAACGGGGGCAAUUUUGACUCCCAAGGGACAUUAGGCAAUGUUUGGAGACAUUUUUGGUUUUCCAAAUGUUAAGCUGGAGUGGGGAUGCUACUGGUCUCAGGUGGGUAGAGGUCUGGGAUGCUGCUGAACAUCCUACAGUACACAGGGCAGCCCCACAACAGAGUUAUCCAGCCCAAAGUGUGAACAGUGCUGAGGUGGAGAAACUCUAGUCUAGGCUCUCUGGUGCUGUACCUGCGGACUCCGGGGUGUCGGCUACGGCAUUGGUUUUUCGUCCUACCUACUUUAGUCCUGGCCUUGAUGCUGUUGUCAGAGGGGAGAGGCUUAGGACCCCUCAGCUCUCUGCUGCUUCCUCUUUCAUUGGCAGAUGCAAGGAGACAAUUGCCUUUGAAGCGGUGCCCCGGCACCAACUCUAAUACAGCAAGAAGCAGGCAAGGUCUUGCGUCAGUAUCUCCCAUGGAAGAGUGUCCAAAGCAGAGACCAGCUGCAGCAGGAAGGUCAUCAAAAACAAGGAAAGCUGGAGAAACUGUCACAGCCAAGAGGAGCCUAAGGAGACAUGACAACUAAAUGUAACGUGAUAUCCUGGAGGGGAUCCUGCAGCAGAAAAAGGACAUUAAGUAAAAACUAAGGAAAUCUGAAUAAAGUAUGAAUGGACUUUAGUUACUAAUAUUGUACCAAUAUUUGUCCAUCAUUUGUGACAAAUACUCCAUAUUAUUGUAAGAUAAUAA